AACGAACGCUGGCGGCAGGCUUAUCACAUGCAAGUCGAACGCCCCGCAAGGGGAGUGGCAGACGGGUGAGUAACGCGUGGGAACAUACCCUUUUCUACGGAAUAGCUCUGGGAAACUGGAAUUAAUACCGUAUACGCCCUACGGGGGAAAGAUUUAUCGGGGAAGGAUUGGCCCGCGUUGGAUUAGCUAGUUGGUGGGGUAAAGGCCUACCAAGGCGACGAUCCAUAGCUGGUCUGAGAGGAUGAUCAGCCACAUUGGGACUGAGACACGGCCCAAACUCCUACGGGAGGCAGCAGUGGGGAAUAUUGGACAAUGGGCGCAAGCCUGAUCCAGCCAUGCCGCGUGAGUGAUGAAGGCCUUAGGGUUGUAAAGCUCUUUCACCGAUGAAGAUAAUGACGGUAGUCGGAGAAGAAGCCCCGGCUAACUUCGU
rnacentral:rRNA from 1 species